AAUUAAUCUGAACCACCAAACAGACAGCGUACACCAGCUGAUAUGAGGCCCCACACACAUACAGUAGGGGACUUCCAGAUUCUCCCAAUGAGAUCAGAAUUUCCUAAUCUACAUAUGGAUCUUGGUCCACAAGAAUACUGCCUGCUAUUUAUCAGGAUACGAUGUGGUCAUUUUCUCUUAACGGAAACAAACCAUCCUAGAGGACGGAGAGAAGCUUACAUCUCUUGCACAGCUCAGGAAUCUCAUGUAAUUUACCAGUCUCAGAAGUUCAGGAAGUUGUAUUAAGCAAGGUUUCUCCCCAAGAUCAUAUGUGCAGAAGUAAUUGCUUUUGAAUAGAGACUCUUCUGUAGGCCAUGAUGCCAGCA
rnacentral:lncRNA from 1 species